rnacentral:rRNA from 1 species
GACGAACGCUGGCGGCGUGCUUAACACAUGCAAGUCGAACGGAAAGGCCCUGCUUUUGUGGGGUGCUCGAGGGGCGAACGGGUGAGUAACACGUGAGUAACCUGCCCCUGACUUUGGGAUAACUUCAGGAAACUGGGGCUAAUAGCGGAUAGGAUCUCCUGCUGCAUGGUGGGGGUGGGAAAGUUUCGGCGGUUGGGGAGGGACUCGCGGCUUAUCAGCUUGUUGGUGGGGUAGUGGAUUACCAAGGCUUGGACGGGUAGCCGGGCUGAGCGGGUGACCGGCCACAUUGGGAUGGAGAUGAGGCACAGACUACUACGGGAGGCAGCAGUGGGGAAUAUUGCACAAUGGGCGGAAGCCUGAUGCAGCACCGCCGCGUGCGGGAUGUCGGCCUUCGGGUUGUAAACCGCUUUCGCCUGUGACGAAGCGUGAGUGACGGUAAUGGGUAAAGAAGCACCGGCUAACUCCGUG